rnacentral:rRNA from 1 species
GGUAACAGGUCUUCGGAUGCUGACGAGUGGCGAACGGGUGAGUAAUACAUCGGAACGUGCCCAGUAAUGGGGGAUAGCUCGGCGAAAGCCGGAUUAAUACCGCAUACGCCCUGAGGGGGAAAGUGGGGGACCGCAAGGCCUCACGUUAUUGGAGCGGCCGAUGGCUGAUUAGCUAGUUGGUAGGGUAAAGGCCUACCAAGGCGACGAUCAGUAGCUGGUCUGAGAGGACGAUCAGCCACACUGGGACCGAGACACGGCCCAGACUCCUACGGGAGGCAGCAGUGGGGAAUUUUGGACAAUGGGGGAAACCCUGAUCCAGCAAUGCCGCGUGUGCGAAGAAGGCCUUCGGGUUGUAAAGCACUUUUGUCAGGGAAGAAAUCCUUUGGGCUAAUACCCUAGGGGGAUGACGGUACCUGAAGAAUAAGCACCGGCUAACUACGUGCCAGCAGCCGCGGUAAUACGUAGGGUGCAAGCGUUAAUCGGAAUUACUGGGCGUAAAGCGUGCGCAGGCGGUUGUGUAAGACAGGUGUGAAAUCCCCGGGCUUAACCUGGGAAUUGCAUUUGUGACUGCACGACUAGAGUGUGUCAGAGGGGGGUGGAAUUCCACGUGUAGCAGUGAAAUGCGUAGAUAUGUGGAGGAACACCAAUGGCGAAGGCAGCCCCCUGGGAUAACACUGACGCUCAUGCACGAAAGCGUGGGGAGCAAACAGGAUUAGAUACCCUGGUAGUCCACGCCCUAAACGAUGUCAACUAGUUGUUGGGGAUUUACUUCCUUGGUAACGUAGCUAACGCGUGAAGUUGACCGCCUGGGGAGUACGGCCGCAA